AUUGAACGCUGGCGGCAUGCCUUACACAUGCAAGUCGAACGGUAACAGGUUAAGCUGGCGAGUGGCGAACGGGUGAGUAAUACAUCGGAACGUGCCCAGUAGUGGGGGAUAGCCCGGCGAAAGCCGGAUUAAUACCGCAUACGACCUAAGGGUGAAAGGGGGGGAUCGCAAGACCUCUCGCUAUUGGAGCGGCCGAUGUCAGAUUAGCUAGUUGGUGGGGUAAAAGCUCACCAAGGCGACGAUCUGUAGCUGGUCUGAGAGGACGACCAGCCACACUGGGACUGAGACACGGCCCAGACUCCUACGGGGGGCAGCAGUGGGGAAUUUUGGACAAUGGGCGCAAGCCUGAUCCAGCCAUGCCGCGUGCGGGAAGAAGGCCUUCGGGUCGUAAACCGCUUUUGUCAGGGAAGAAAUCCUUUGGGUUAAUACCUCGGGGGGAUGACGGUACCUGAAGAAUAAGCACCGGCUAACUACGUG
rnacentral:rRNA from 1 species